UUUUUUGACUGUUUAUUGCUUUCGGUUGGCUUCCGGUUGCCGGUCAUCCCAAACGCCCCAUGAAAGACAAAGAAAGAAUACUCUGAUGAUUCUUCCACCGCUUUGACUAGACCUCUCUAGAAUAAACUGACCAGUAUCUCCCCACGUCUUCUCAAUUUCCACCGCUGCCUUCUGAAAGAAGAAAAAAUUCCACCGCCGCUCCUCCUCGGCACCCCCUUUUCUACUGAAUUGCGGUCAGGUCGUAGCCUCAGAACCUGAGGUCAGAUACAAGAACGGCAAUGGUCUGGGCUCCAGCAGUGCGAGAAUCGACUGAGCGGCCGACCAUGGCGCGAGGGGAGUGGCCAGGCCGCGAGCCAGAGCGUGGCGCCGGAGCCGGGCGGGCGCAGCGAAGGGCCAGAGCUAGCGGGUUCUAGAGCUGGAGGGCGCAACAAGAUGGAGCAGCCGGGUGCGUCAAGGACGGCGCGGACGCGGAGUUGGCGGAGUGGCCGGGCCGCGAACUGGAGCCUGACGCCGGAGCCGGGUGGACGCGGCGAAGGGGCGGAGCUGGCGGGUUCCGGAGCUGGAGGGGGUCGGGCGCAUCAACGACGGUGCGGGCGCGGAGUCGACGGAGCGGCACGGUCAGCGCAGCCGACAAGGGCGCAGUCCGGCACGGUGCGAGCCAGAGGGGAGCGGCACGGAAGUCGGAGGCGCGAGUGGAGCGGUGGGGCUCGCCGGAGCCGGAGCUUGGCGUGGAGCAUGUGGAGCGGCCGGAGGGCACGGGGCGCGGACGUCGUGGGAGCAGGACGGCGGUAGGGCGAUGGAACGCGAGCCGGCGCUGACCGAGGAGCGAGCGGAGCGGCGGACUUGGGCGCAUGCGUGGCCGGAGCGGCAUAGGUGCGGGACUCGCGGGCUGCAGACGGACUCCGGGAGCAGGGCGCCGACGGCGGGCGCGCGGCCAUGGCGCACGCAGGAGCCGCCGGCGGGGUUGCGGCCUCGCACAGGGCCAGAGGACGAAGCCCCGAGGUUGUACGGGCACAUGACGAGGAUGGGCAGGUGCACGGGCUCGCACAAGAGGCAACAGGGCGAGGAUGAGGAGGCCCAGCAUGCUAGAACUGGAAUGCGAGCGCGUGGGUCGGACAGCCAUGCGCGGGAGAUGAGCAGGCGGGGAGCUGCUGCGGGAGCGUUGGAGAGGACAUGGAAGAAGAGGCCAGGAGGGACGCGUCGCAGGAGGGAGGCGCAUGGCGUAGUUGCUGGGCGCGUGGGUGGCCGGGCGGAAGCGCUGGCCAGCGCGAGUAACUGGAGUAGGGCGCAGCAGGGAGUGAGGAGGUUGCGCAGAGCUACGCAGGGCGGCGGCCGGCGCGGGAAGAGCAGUUUCGCUGAUGCCGGCAGGCGCGCAGGAGAGGAGGGAGCCAUCGAUCGUGGCGUGGCUAAUCCAGAGCGGAGCAGGGGAGGGAGGCGACCACCGCGUCGUGCUGCACCAACAAUGCUUUAGGCUCCAAUGUGGAUAUUAUUUCAUAUCGUCAAUGGAAUGGAGAGAUGUAUGGACCGCGAGUUGAAUUAGCCAACUGGACCAAAAAAAAAUCAGGUUUCAGUACUAACAAGGUUUGUCCAUUUGUACUCAAUAGUUAACUUGAGGAUAAAGGUUCUAAAAUGUAAGGCACCUCUAUGAUAAUCACAUCAACACCGUGAUUUUACUCCAAUACCAAUGUAUAAACAUGGACUGAUACAGAGUAACUUACUAAAUCCAUUUGUAUCCUGAUUUGGGUUUGUCCAAUUUUCUGGCCUGACUUUCAUCUGCUACCAUUUUUUAACCUUCUCAUUCUAUUUUACUGAAAGGUUACCUAUUUGCUAAGGGGAAACACUUCCUAUUGCUGUUAGCUGAACGCAUUUCUAGGUGCUAUGCAGGCAUUCUAGGGCUUCAUAUAGCGAAGGUAUGUUUUGUUUAUUUCACGAUUUAGUUUAGAUCCUUACUGUACAUGUGCCAACAUGCUUAUUUCUUAUAAUUUCUGUAGAAAGCUUGCUAUCUGUUUGGUAUCAGAAAGCUCAUCUAUCUCAAAUGGAAUAGUUUAUGAGAGGAACAAAGAACAAAAGGAUGAUGAUAUUUCUGUUUCGUAUCAGAAAGCUCAUAUAUGGAAUAGUUUAUGAGAGGAACAAAGAACAAAAGGACGAUUUUUUUUUUUUUUUUUGGUUUUGAAUGGUCAUUUGUAUGCUUACAAUAUUAUACCAAAGUACGUGUUACAGGAGAAUGAGAAAUGACAGGGUUUAUUGAAAUCAGUAGUUUUUCAUGUAAUAUUAGACUGAAAAAAUGGUAAGCUACUAUCGUAUAUAAAACUGAUGACUGAUCUCUACAUUUGCUCACAACAUUACAGGGUUCGCUUAUAGUUAUAUCGUUUCUCCUUUCGCAUGGAGAAGUUUUGUAAUAUUAAACAUGGUGACCACAUAAGAAUUCAGUUGACGAGCUCAUAAUAUUUUGACCAAAUCUGAGGCAGGGUGAUUUUCCCUUAUAAAUUGAUCUUCAUGAGUUUAUAAAUUGACGUUUCUGUAUUUAACUGAAAGGUUCAUGGUGCUUAGUUUCCAGGUGGAUUUUUUGAAUUGCCAAAUUAUUAACAGAAAUAUGUAUACUUAAGGAGUCAUCAAUUGCAUCGACCAAGAUCCACUUCAUCUGCUACCUUACUCUGAUCACAAUAUCGGAAACUAGGGUUCAUUGUACAUAUUUACUUCCUGAUGUAGCCAUUUGGUAAAAUAGUAGUAGCAUAAUAUCAUCUGUUUUAAUUUUCCCUACUGAAAACAGUCUGUUGUUUUUACCAACCACUGUACAUGUUCAGAACUUCACAUGUUAAAACAUGGAUAGGCAUUAAACCAUUGUCUUGCUUAAUUGAGGAAAUUUCCCAUUUUGCUUAUUUAGCAAUUUGCGUAUUCAUCUUGCUCUCUGAAUUUCUUUAGUAUGUCAGUGUUUUCUUUCAGAUGUCCUUUAUUUAUCAAAGAUCUCUGCCAAUACAUUUCAAAAUUAGUACAUUAAUUGGUCGCAUUGUUCACAGAGAACCUUGGUUCUUUUCCUUGGUCCAAUUGUGUUGUGCUUGCUUAGCUGAUCACUAUUCUGCAAAACUAGGCCAAAUAUGGUUUGGGUCGCAACAAAAGAAGAGCCAGUUUGCACCUGACAAUUUUCAAAGGAUAUGUCUUCAGAUCUUUAAGCUCUGUUUUCCCAGAUGACAAGAUUCAUCGAGCUCACCUGAAAUUUUCAAAGGAUAUGUCUUCAGAUCUUUAAGCUAUGUUUUCCCAGAUGACAAGAUUCAUCGAGCUACCACAUAAUUUUCAAGUAACAAUGAUGAAAUGGGGCAAUAAUACAUAUCAGGUCCAGGCAGCAGCUGAAAACAGAAAAGGAGCAUAUGGGAAUUGAUUACCUCCUCCACACCUGAGGUUGUCUCCGUCAACAACACUCUCGACCCAUAAAGCCCUGGCGAUGGCUGCGCCAAGCUCAACUUGCCCAUCGCCCUACCGCUCAACCUUUCACAGGGAUGAAAGACUCAGACUAUCAACGAAGCCGCAGGUGCCAUGCAAGCACUGAAGGUCCCCACUCAAGCAAGGAGCAAUGCCGUCCGCGGACCAAGCACAAACUGCCUCCAAAGAAGACUGUAAGCAUCCCCUCAUCUGACAAAGAGGACAACAAUGCAUAUUAUUGACGAGCUUGCCACCAACUAUCUGCAACAAAGUACGGCUAAUUUUGGUAAUCAGCUGCACUGUCGUUCUGAACCACCAAGCUCUCCAUCCUCUACGGAGCAAUAUAGAGCAGGCUAUGCUCUGCUUUUGUCAUCUGAAUUUUGCUACUCUAUAGAUAAUCGGUAGAUGGCACAAAGUAUCUAUCGCUGACUAGGAAUCAUGUAGUGUGUAAAUGCAGAAAAACCCAAAGAAUGUACUAUGUAAUGCAUGUCUCUAUCUUACGAUGCUUUCUGUUUGUA